GACUGCAGGCCGCAACUCGCCUGCACGAAGUCGGAAUUGCUAGUAAUCGUAGGUCAGCAUACUACGGUGAAUACGUUCCCGGGCCUUGUACACACCGCCCGUCAAACCAUGAGAGUUGGCAACACCCGAAGUCGGUAGUCUAACCGCAAGGAGGACGCCGCGAAGGUGGGGUUNAUGAUUAGGGUUAAGUCGUAACAAGGUAUC
rnacentral:rRNA from 1 species